UACGUAGGGUGCAAGCGUUGUCCGGAAUUAUUGGGCGUAAAGAGCUUGUAGGCGGUUUGUCGCGUCUGCUGUGAAAUUUCGGGGCUCAACCCCGAACUUGCAGUGGGUACGGGCAGACUAGAGUGCGGUAGGGGUGACUGGAAUUCCUGGUGUAGCGGUGAAAUGCGCAGAUAUCAGGAGGAACACCGGUGGCGAAGGCGGGUCUCUGGGCAGUAACUGACGCUGAGGAGCGAAAGCGUGGGGAGCGAACAGG
rnacentral:rRNA from 1 species